rnacentral:tRNA from 1 species
UCAGGUAUAGCUCAAUGGUAGAGUGCAUGCCUAGCAUGCACCAGGUCCUGGGUUCAAUCCCAAGUACCUCUA